GCGCGAGAAUGCGUGCGGUAGGAUUUUCGGAAGUUAAAACCUCCUUUUGAGCGAGUGGGCAGGCGGCGCAAGCGCACACAUCAAUCAACCUCCUUUUGUGCGAGAAGGUGUCGGGCGGGGGCGAGCGCACGCAAAUACGUGGGAAGAGGAAGGGGAGGAGUGGAAACAGACAGCAGAGACAGGCAGAAACGGAGCAGAGCAGUUGCAAAAGAAAAGUUAUAGGCAGGAGAAAGUGAAUUGUUGGCUAAUAAUAAGUUGGUUUACUAGCUCAGCCUUACUUUUGUACCUCAGGAAGGUAAAAGAAAGGAGAUAAAAAGGAAAAGAUAAACAAAA